rnacentral:rRNA from 1 species
UUGAAUUUCGGGAUCAAUAUUUCGGUCAUGCCGUUGGUAUGCACUGUUAUCAUUGAUUUCUCACCCUCUAAAGAACCGUAAUGCCAUUAAUUGGUGUUACGGGGAAUUUGGACUGUUACUUUGAAAAAAUUAGAGUGUUUAAAGCAAGCUAACGCUUGAAUACAUUAGCAUGGAAUAAUGAAAUAGGACGUUCGAUCCUAUUUUGUUGGUUUCUAGGAUUGACGUAAUGAUUAAUAGGGAUAGUUGGGGGCAUUAGUAUUCAAUUGUCAGAGGUGAAAUUCUUGGAUUUAUUGAAGACUAACUACUGCGAAAGCAUUUGCCAAGGAUGUUUUCAUUAAUCAAGAACGAAAGUUAGGGGAUCGAAGACGAUCAGAUACCGUCGUAGUCUUAACCAUAAACUAUGCCGACUAGGGAUCGGAUGAUGUUUAAUUUUUUAAUGACUC